UACCGGCGGCUCGAGUGGUGGCCGAUAUUAUUGAGUCUAAAGGGUCCGUAGCCGGCUUUGCAAGUCCCCUGGGAAAUCCAGCGGCUUAACCGUUGGGCGCCCAUGGGAUACUACAUUGCUUGGGACUGGGAGAGGCGAGAGGUACUCGAGGGGUAGGGGUGAAAUCCUGUAAUCCUUCGGGGACCACCGGUGGCGAAGGCGUCUCGCCAGAACAGGUCCGACGGUGAGGGACGAAAGCUAGGGGCACGAACCGG
rnacentral:rRNA from 1 species